UCAUUGCGACAUCUUCACUUCCGGGUUGACUGUGCAUAAAGUUGUAGUUAACCCUGCACUAGUAAUGUAACUAUCGACAAUCUUUCAAAAAAUCUACUUUUAGUGGUUUAACUACACUAAACAUCAGUAUUUUCGUAUGUAUGUAAGUUAAAAUAAACUCAAACUAUCAAUUUUUCGUCGUCCCGGUA